AACGAACGCUGGCGGCAUGCCUAACACAUGCAAGUCGAACGAGACCUUCGGGUCUAGUGGCGCACGGGUGCGUAACGCGUGGGAACCUGCCCUUAGGUUCGGAAUAACUCCCCGAAAGGGGUGCUAAUACCGGAUAAUGUCUUCGGACCAAAGAUUUAUCGCCUUUGGAUGGGCCCGCGUUGGAUUAGCUAGUUGGUAGGGUAAAAGCCUACCAAGGCGACGAUCCAUAGCUGGUCUGAGAGGAUGAUCAGCCACACUUGGACUGAGACACGGCCCAGACUCCUACGGGAAGCAGCAGUGGGGAAUAUUGGACAAUGGGCGAAAGCCUGAUCCAGCAAUGCCGCGUGAGUGAUGAAGGCCUUAGGGUUGUAAAGCUCUUUUACCCGGGAUGAUAAUGACAGUACCGGGAGAAUAAGCUCCGGCUAACUCCGUG
rnacentral:rRNA from 1 species